rnacentral:lncRNA from 1 species
CGUCCUUCAGCUGGCCCCUAAACAAAUAUAUACUAGUUCAGUGAUAAUGAACACCAAACUAAACUCCAAAUUGUACACAAGAAACUAAAAGUUAAAAUAAUACAAGACUAACAAAGGCCAGAGGCUCCUGACUUGGGACAGGCGCAAAAAUGCGGCGGGGUUAAACAUGUUUGUGAGAUCUCAACCCUCCCCCUGUGCCUCUAGCCAAUGCAGAAAAGUAAACGCAUAACAAUACGCAC